rnacentral:rRNA from 1 species
GACGAACGCUGGCGGCGUGCUUAACACGUGCAAGUCGAACGGAAAGGCCCUGCGUUUGUGGGUUGCUCGAGUGGCGAACGGGUGUGUAACACGUGAGUAACCUGCCCUUGAUUUUGGGAUAACUUCAGGAAACUGGGGCUAAUACCGGAUAGGAGCUCCUGCUGCAUGGUGGGGGUUGGAAAGUUUCGGCGGUUGGGGAUGGACUCGCGGCUUAUCAGCUUGUUGGUGGGGUAGUGGCUUACCAAGGCUUUGACGGGUAGCCGGCCUGAGAGGGUGACCGGCCCCAUUGGGACUGAGAUACGGCCCCGACUCCUACGGGAGGCAGCAGUGGGGAAUAUUGCACAAUGGGCGGAAGCCUACUGCAGCAACGCAGCGUGCGGGAUGACGGCCUUCGGGUUGUAAACCGCUUUCGCCUGUGACGAAGCGUGAGUGACGGUAAUGGGUAAAGAAGCACCGGCUAACUACGUG